CCUACGGGAGGCUGCAGUGGGGAAUAUUGGACAAUGGGGGGAACCCUGAUCCAGCCAUGCCGCGUGUGUGAAGAAGGCCCUCGGGUCGUAAAGCACUUUCAGUGAGGAAGAACGCCUGGUGGUUAAUACCCAUCAGGAAAGACAUCACUCACAGAAGAAGCAACGGCUAACUCCGUGCCAGCAGCCGCGGUAAUACGGAGGGUGCGAGCGUUAAUCGGAAUUACUGGGCGUAAAGCGCGCGUAGGUGGCUUGAUAAGCCGGUUGUGAAAGCCCCGGGCUCAACCUGGGAACGGCAUCCGGAACUGUCAAGCUAGAGUGCAGGAGAGGAAGGUAGAAUUCCCGGUGUAGCGGUGAAAUGCGUAGAGAUCGGGAGGAAUACCAGUGGCGAAGGCGGCCUUCUGGACUGACACUGACACUGAGGUGCGAAAGCGUGGGUAGCAAACAGGAUUAGAUACCCCAGUAGUC
rnacentral:rRNA from 1 species